rnacentral:rRNA from 1 species
UACAGAGGUCUCAAGCGUUGUUCGGAUUCAUUGGGCGUAAAGGGUGCGUAGGUGGCGGGGUAAGUCAGGUGUGAAAUCUCGGAGCUCAACUCCGAAACUGCACUUGAUACUGCCUUGCUUGAGUACUGGAGAGGAGAUUGGAAUUUACGGUGUAGCAGUGAAAUGCGUAGAGAUCCGGAGGAACACCAGAGGCGAAGGCGGCCCACUGGGCUGCACCUGACGCUGAACCGCGAAAGCCAGGGGAGCGAACGGG